GUACUUCUGAAGAGUCCCACAACGGGACGAAAUAGCCAUCCAGUGC
rnacentral:hammerhead_ribozyme from 1 species